UGGCAGCCUGAGGGGAGCUAAAUCCUGGACUGGAAAGCGCUGAGAGGGGACAGGUAUACUCAAACUGCUGAAAUACACACAUAUACAUAGAAAUACAUUUACAAAUGGCAGUUCUUAAAGUCCCAAAGCACAUUUAAACCACCACGCCUCAGUGAGGCGCCGCCGCCAUUUUAUACUUGGCGCAAAAACGCCUCUGCCGGAUCUACCUCCAGGAACCCAUCACGGCCCGCCAACCUCACUGAUUGAAAUCCUUCCGCCAGAGGAAAACCCUUCCCUGCCCGGCCUCUCCCACAGCCCCAGGGCGGGGAGAACGACGGAGAAAAGAAGGAGAAAUCCCCGAAUUCCCCACAGUUCCCGCUGAGAGCGAGGGCUGGUCCAGCCCGAUCUUUCUGCUCCUCCUCCUCGGACUCUUUACCGCAGGUAAGAGGGAGGAAGUGGUGGAAGCAGAAGCUGUGCAUUGUGCCACCCGAGUGCCACUGUCCCCAGGGCCACCUGUCCCUGCCAGGAGGACCAAGGGGUGUCCACUUCCUGCCAUGCCACAAAGUGCUUUGAAACCUGC